rnacentral:rRNA from 1 species
UACGUAGGGUGCGAGCGUUGUCCGGAAUCACUGGGCGUAAAGGGCGCGUAGGCGGCGCGGAUAGUCGGCGGUGAAAGCCCGGAGCUCAACUCCGGGUCGGCCGUCGAUACUUCCGGGCUUGAGCACUGUAGAGGCAGAUGGAAUUCCGGGUGUAGCGGUGGAAUGCGUAGAGAUCCGGAAGAACACCGGUGGCGAAGGCGGUCUGCUGGGCAGUUGCUGACGCUGAUGCGCGACAGCGUGGGGAGCAAACAGG